rnacentral:rRNA from 1 species
CCUAUUUGGUUAGUAUUUGGGUGUUAAGUAAACUAGGGUUGUUUGUGUGCCGUUUUUCCUAAUGUAGCUUGUCUUGAGGUUCUUGUAGCUCCUCUUGUAACAUAACUUCUAGUUUCUCUCUCUUGUUCAGUAGAUCGAUGAUCGAUACCUGGGCAUCCAGACACCAUUUGAUGAGUGUGUAGUAGCCUCCCCGUCGUUCCAACUACACCUUCGGGAAGCACUAGUUAAGGGGGAGUCCGCCUCACGGCCUUUUCCGGAGGCCUACCCUAGAGCGCUCUUGUCUUCGAACACCGCUGCCUUUUUCAUAAAACCCACCGAGAGACAACCAAAGGGCUAAAAUCUCUUAAAUAUCUCGAUCUUAAUCCAGUUUGUCUCCUUGUUCCCCGGGUACUCCGUGGUCCCGCGCGGAUGGACCACCGAGCACCGGGUGAGGAAGCGGAAGACCAGAGGAGUGCUUCGAAGAUCACAGAGAAUACAGGUCCUUUUUUAGCAGUUUUUCAAAGUACCGUAAACCUGAAGCAAACCGUAACUAAAGGACCUUUUGGUUUUUGUCCGUUUUCUUAUCGUUGACCGUGAACCAUGAUUCAAUUAUCCAAUCAGGAUUUUUUACUAUAUAUUAACGUAUUAUUUGUAGGUUUUAACUAUAAUAUUAUCGUACUUUGUUAUUUUUUUUAAUAUCUACGCAACCUCUGCAUAGUUUAUCAACGUACGUACAGUGCGCUCUUCCCUCUCCGGUAUUUGUACGAGGGCGCGGUGGUUUGCCUUACUGGUUUCCCGGUAGACUUCGGUGGUUUCUCGGGAAGCCUCGUCCUUUCUGCCGUUGGUCGAUGUGUAGGUACGCUCUCCUUUUUCCGGUCUCUGUACGAGGUCGUUGCGGUCCGUCUUGUACGUUUCCCCGUAGAUCUCCGUUGUUUAUCGGGUAUUCUCAUCCGUUAGGUUGUCAGCAUACGUCAAGGAACGCUCUACCAUCUUCCGCCCCUAGACCUCGUCCGUUCGUUUGUUGACCGAAGUGUAGGUACGUUUUUCCUUUUCCGACCUCUACGCGAACUCGCACCGGUUUUCGGUCUAUGGGGGCGUUAAGGUACUUGUGAGUUUACAAGUUCCUUCGUUUAAGUUUAUCUGUUUCCCUUCGUGUUCCGUUUUUCCGUUCCAGUUGUUUCACGUGAAUGGAGGAACUGGAUAGUUCCCUUGAUCGUCUCGAACGAGCCAUCCGUUCCUUUGUUUGGCCUCGUUCACUAGACUGUCGACCAACAUUUAGGCACUCUGUUCCUUCUCCGGCAUCUGCUCGGCUCGUAGCUAUUGUUGGUCGGCGAGGGGAUGUUAUUUGGUAGUCGAUUUGCUAGUUCCUUCGUUUAGGUUUACUUAUCUCUUUCGCUGACCGAUCUCUCUGUUCUGCUCGUUGUAUGUGUCUGUGACUUUCACGAAUCCAGUAGUGAGUAGCCAGGGUGGCUCACCUAAGCAGGCCAGAGUGGCUUCGCAACUUCAAGUUUGGAAAAUGUGAUCAGCCACGGGGACUCAAAAAAUAGACCAAGGUGGCUCAACACGUAUUUCCAUACAUUACCGAUCUAGAAACCACUACCGAUAUAUAAGGAGGUGGGUAGUGGAUGUGAGUCUCUCUCGUUGGUCCUACUUCGGUGGUGAAGGGUAUAGGUAAAAGACUCUCUCUUGGUGGAUGUAAACACAACUCUAGUUCCGUAAGGUGAGGUUGGUAAACUAGGAACUAAAGAUCGGGGGAGUUCAACGAAAGGUGAGGUUAGGAAGAGGGUGGUAGUACGGUUUAAACACUCUCUCACUGACUCACAACUCCUCUGGUAGAAAACUUCUUGUUUUCGUUCUUCAAGUAGUAGUUGUUGUUGUAGAUAAUGGAAAACUUCUCACCACAGAGGAUCUAACCAAUCCACAGUGAACACUCGGAGGUUUAGUACUCGACUUGGUUCCUCAAACAUUCCCGUUCCUCUAGCGGAUGAAGCAUUUCUAGAUGGGGCUCACUCCGAUCAGGAAGUACCCGCAUUCGGUACUACCUUAUCUAUUCCAAAAAAGAAGUACCUGGGAAGCACCCACCUCGGGAGACACCUGAGCGCGUCGGCAAUGGGAAGCACCUAACUUCAGAGGUAGUUGCACCUACAUCCUAUCGUGGUGGAUAGCCUUGGUGCGGUUUUUAGAGGCACAGAAGUAACGUAAACUAUAGAGGCUAGGGGAGGAAAUGCAAGUAUACGUUUCAUAAAUGAAAGGUGACGGAUGAUAGAUCUGAACGUACACAUCCCACAACGAACUGAACACACUUAGCGAUUUUGAACGAUUCUUGAUUUUAACCUUUUUCCGAUCCAAAAAUAAACCAGUUCAUCAGAUUAGUGGGGGAGAUCUGGAUGAAUGCUAUAUUCCGCGUCUGUUCCUCUUUUGUAUGUUUGGAAUCGUUCUGGUUGCGCUCACGUUAGUAUCGGAGAGGGUGCGUGACCGUCUGCACGCCGACGUACAACAGUACAGCCUCUCAUAGACGUACCUUCAGCGAGGGAAGCGCGACGUGGAGCGGGUUGUCCUCUGGUAGCCGAAUUAGUGGAGUUGGUCGACCGUCCUGCUGGUCCUGCUGGCUGCUUUCUCGAGUCUCUGGGGAGCAGGUAACGUUAAUCUCUUCUCGGUUUGCUCUCCUUCGGUGCUACGAAACCGUCUACACUCUGCCGCCCCUUCCUUCCUCGAUGCUGUGCUUCUAUUGGGGGCACACAACUUGGCUGUACUUCGUGUAUGGCUGUACGGGCCGGCCGUACGGGCCGGUUAUCUGAGUGGUUAUGCUCCGCAGUUGGGUUGUGUGACUUUCUGUCUCGGUCGGUUAUCGAGCUGGCGUUCUUUGUUGACUAAUUUGGUUUCCUGUACUCUACUCUCCUUGUUUCCUCCCGCCUCUCUACGAUUUUAUAGGGGUGUGCGAUUUGGCCCUAUACUUUGUGUCUGGUUGUA